UACGUAGGGGGCAAGCGUUGUCCGGAUUUAUUGGGCGUAAAGAGCGUGUAGGCGGCUUGGUAGGUCUCGCGUCAAAACCUGAGGCUCAACCUCAGUUCGCGUGGGAAACCACCUAGCUAGAGUCCGGAAGAGGAGAACGGAAUUCCCAGUGUAGCGGUGAAAUGCGCAGAUAUUCGGAAGAACACCAGUGGCGAAGGCGGCUCACUGGCCCGGUACUGACGCUGAGGUGCGAAAGCGUGGGGAGCAAACAGG
rnacentral:rRNA from 1 species